rnacentral:lncRNA from 1 species
GUUUUUCUACACAUGUGUAAUCUCUAGCUUUUAAGCUAUCAUUGAAUGAAAUAUCCACUUUGUGGGAGAUCUAUGCUUCUAGCAAGAUUGAUUAUAGUGAAAACUUUGUAAGAAUUUGUCAUCACUAUCAUGAGACAAAGCACCAUUGACAUAGUUACUAGAAGAUUUAUGGUGAGAACUAUCAACAUUCACUUCAGGAAACAUACAUACUAGAGGAAGAGUCCAACAAAUAUUAAUAACAUGUUGAUGUUUAGGUUGCAUAUUAGUUUGAAUUAGUUUCCAAAUUACGAAAACUUUUGCUAAAAGGAAAAAAAAAUGGUAUAGAAAAGCAUCGCAGUAGGCUGUGAUUCGCGACAUUCCAACUAUAUUGACAUUUGAAGCCUAACUAUCAUUUGCAACAAUCAUAGGGGACAUGCACCGUACCCUUGAAAGGAAGCAAGAUAAACAUAAAAUUCCUAAACGACGAAAUCAAGCCAGCACAGCUGCAAAAUAUAAAUCUUAUCACAUCUUUUAAAAUAGACGGAAGAAGUAAUAUCAAGUAAUCCGAGUUAUGCAUUAAACUCACCACGAUAGAUAGUGUUUGGGAUCAAACUGUUUGACCACUUGGACAUUCAGAACAUCUUCGCCCUUUCAAGCUUGACACUUGGGACUGUGUUUGGUACCAAACUGUUUGACUACUCGAUCAUUCAGAAUUUCCUUUCUCUUCAGGUUUGAGACUCAACGCCUGUGCUCGAUACCAAACAGUUUGGCCACCCGGGCAUUCAACCAGGCUUGACACUCAGGGGUUGUGUUCUGUAUCAGUAUGACUGAGUAUAAUACUCAAGGCAACUGGAGUACUCGGUCCUUCCUGAUAGAAUCGCUUUGCUAAUCCCGUUGUCCAUAUGGUCCAAAGACACAAGGCCCAUAAAGUUUUAUUAACGCAUAGGCAGUCUCCCAACAUGGUCCAGAGUUUCUUAAUAGUAGGAGGAAUAUGUGACGGGUGCUCUUUUGCCCCCCCCUAUUGCUCUUUAUUUUGCGAAACUACAUUCAGCAGUUAUCUCCCGAAGCCUUUAAAAGAGCAAACAUCGGAAUAUGUUGUCUAAGAUUAUUCUCUCUAUAGCGCUCAGGUCUUUCUCAUUGUAAUUUGUCUUGAUAUUGAGCUUUUUGCCAGUAUCACUCUUGGUUCUUUGCUUUGUCUUUUCAUUUUGAUGUCUGAUGGUUGAGUUUUAUUAUAAUAUACUCUUUAUCACAGGCUUUGUCAAAUUUACUUAUUGAUAAUGUUUUUCAUCACGAGCAAUUGUGAUCUAUAUUCUUUUCUUG